GACGAACGCUGGCGGCGUGCCUAAUACAUGCAAGUCGAGCGGAUGACGGAGGAGCUUGCUCCUCCUGAUUCAGCGGCGGACGGGUGAGUAACACGUGGGCAACCUGCCCUGUAGAUUGGGAUAACUCCGGGAAACCGGGGCUAAUACCGAAUAAUCCUUCGGACCUCAUGGUCCGAUGUUGAAAGACGGUUUCGGCUGUCACUACAGGAUGGGCCCGCGGCGCAUUAGCUAGUUGGUGAGGUAACGGCUCACCAAGGCCACGAUGCGUAGCCGACCUGAGAGGGUGAUCGGCCACACUGGGACUGAGACACGGCCCAGACUCCUACGGGAGGCAGCAGUAGAGAAUCUUCCACAAUGGACGAAAGUCUGAUGGAGCAACGCCGCGUGAGUGAAGAAGGUUCUCGGAUCGUAAAACUCUGUUGUGAGGGAAGAACAAGUACCGGAGUAACUGCCGGUGCCUUGACGGUACCUCAUUAGAAAGCCACGGCUAACUACGUGCCAGCCGCCGCGGUAAUAC
rnacentral:rRNA from 1 species